CACCUUUGGUCUUUCAGGCUUUAUAAGCACAAGACGGGCCCAAACAGUUGGAACAAUAUCUUGCUUACUGGACAAUUUUGCCUGCCUUUGAUGAAGGGUUGAUGGCGCAAUUUGGAAAGGAUCAAGCUUGAAGCAUCAAACAGGUUUUGGCCUGUUUUCUGAUUACCCACAGCAGCCAGGCACCCACAGCUAGAAGUGUGACACAACACCCGCCGCCCUGCAACUCCAAGGCUGUAGACAUUACAAGGACACAGCAGGUUUGAGCUGAAUCAGCGGAAGACAGAGCACUUCCAAUCUGAUCCCGAUAACUUUGGAGACCUGCACAAAACUCAAGGACAGUAAAGAUUUCUUCAAGAGAGAAUUCAAGGGAGUAUAUGUCAUUUGGUCUUAUCUGAGAAAAUCAUCAUAUGAACGAGAGCUGGUAUUAUACUAACGUAUGUGUGCCAGACUUCCAGAAAAAAGAUAAAAAAACACAAAUACAACCCACACUGCAACAAGUUCGCAUCACAUGACAUUCCACAUCAAGUGACACACGUAGAUGUUAUUGUGGUAACAUUUCAAGUCCUUUUUAUAUUGUCAUGAGGCCUGAGGGUAACACAGCAUGUUUUUUUUCUUUCAGAUUCUGAUGGUGACACAAACAAGGGUCAAAGCACACAAACACACUUUCAGAUUGACAGACAGAUGCAGACUGACGCCUAAUGGGUUUCUAUUUUUAAAGCUUUAAUGUUAUAAUCUUGAAGAUUUUCAAAUGUCUGUUAAGUCACUAUCUAUUGCCCACUGUGGUAACACAAUGGUGACUGAGCAUGUGGCCCACCGAUGAAAGUAUUGCGAUAUUUAUAUAUUUACAGUAUUACAAACUUGGUGUCUGUGCCGACAAAAAUAAUGAAAACUGAACAUUUCCUACUGCUGCAGCUUUACAUUAAAAGCAUUUAAGCGGCGAAACACAAGUUGACUUACAGCUAUAUAAAAAAUGCAUCUAAAAAACAAGACUAUGGUCAUUUUCAGCAUUUUUUUGACAGCAGAUCAGUUUAAAAUGUGGCACGGAGUAAUGGGACAAAAGGCAGCAGCCACAGUGAGCUGUUAGAUGACAAGCUGCAGGCGACAGGCUGCACACCUCCAGCUCCUGAGGGAGGUAACAAACUCCUUCUACUGUGCCCUGCUGUUCCUGCUCUGUGCCAGACUCAUGCCAUGUGCAGCAUAAAAUCAGAUCACAGUUGCCUACAGAAUGAUGGAAAAAGGACAAUUAUUGCCCAAAUACUUUAUGUAAAUGACAAUAGCUUGUUUGGAAUAAGCCACCUGUUAAUCGCUGAAGUAUCAGUUUAGUUUUCACUCAAAAUGCAAAGGAGAAGUUCGUGUCUGACCCUAGUGUCCGUGCUACAAACCUCCUUGAAGCUAGGAGGCUAAGCUAGAGAAUCUGAAACCAACCAUUUUUAUCCAUAUCACACAUCAACCACCAAGAAUCUGAAUGAACUUAUAUCACAACAUAAACCAUUCUGUGAACACUGUACAUGCAUGCAGUUAUUGCCAUCCAGUUAUCUCUCAUCUUAUCUUACACCACCGCCCGACCACUCUUAAGAAAGCUCAGCCCCAGCUGAGAUCAGCUGUGUAACUCAUAUCACUCAAAUCACAGACUGAUUAGCCGGAUAAUAAUAACAACAAACGCACCAAUAUACAUAUACAGUUUCAACCGCCGACUUAUUUUUGCGGUUUUUGCUGUUUUUCGUUUUUGCUAGCCAAUCUGUUGUAGUUACACAGACAUCCAGUAUUUCAAACAAUUUGUUUGCUCAAGACGACGAGAAAGAGCCCACUUACAGCCCAGGAUGUUCUGUUCUCAAGUUGUGGAUGAUGGUUUUGAUGGUGAUAUUGCUAU